rnacentral:misc_RNA from 1 species
GAUGAAGAACGUAGCGAAAUGCGAUAAGUAGUGUGAAUUGCAGAAUUCAGUGAAUCAUCGAAUCUUUGAACGCACAUUGCGCCCCUUGGUAUCCCGAGGGGCAUGCCUGUUCGAGCGUCAUUUCACCACUCAAGCCUGGCUUGGUGUUGGGCGACGUCCCCUUUAGGGACGCGCCUCGAAACGCUCGGCGGCGCGGCACCGGCUUUAAGCGUAGCAGAAUCUUUCGCUUUGGAAGUCGGGGCCCCGCCUGCCGGAAUACCAACUUGUAAGGUUGACCUCGGAUCAGGCAGGGAUACCCGCUGAACUUAAGCAUAUCAAUAAGCGGAGGA